GAUGAACGCUGGCGGCGUGCCUAAUACAUGCAAGUCGAGCGAACGGACGAGAAGCUUGCUUCUCUGAUGUUAGCGGCGGACGGGUGAGUAACACGUGGAUAACCUACCUAUAAGACUGGGAUAACUUCGGGAAACCGUAGCUAAUACCGGAUAAUAUUUUGAACCGCAUGGUUCAAAAGUGAAAGACGGUCUUGCUGUCACUUAUAGAUGGAUCCGCGCUGCAUUAGCUAGUUGGUAAGGUAACGGCUUACCAAGGCAACGAUGCAUAGCCGACCUGAGAGGGUGAUCGGCCACACUGGAGCUGAGACACGGUCCAGACUCCUACAGGAGGCAGCAGCAGGGAAUCUUCCGCGAUGGGCGAAAGCCUGACGGAGCAACGCCGCGUGAGUGAUGAAGGUCUUCGGAUCGUAAAACUCUGUUAUUAGGGAAGAACAUAUGUGUAAGUAACUGUGCACAUCUUGACGGUACCUAAUCAGAAAGCCACGGCUAACUACGUG
rnacentral:rRNA from 1 species